rnacentral:rRNA from 1 species
UACGUAGGGACCGAGCGUUUGUCCGGAAUCAUUGGGCGUAAAGAGCGUGUAGGCGGCCACUUAAGUCCUGCGUGAAAUCUUGCGGCUCAACCGCAAGCGGUCGUGGGAAACUGGGUGGCUAGAGUGCGGGAGAGGAGAGUGGAAUUCCUGGUGUAGCGGUGGAAUGCGCAGAUAUCAGGAGGAACACCGGUGGCGAAGGCGGGUCUCUGGGCAGUAACUGACGCUGAGGAGCGAAAGCAUGGGGAGCGAACAGG